GGAAAUUUAGAAAACACAGUAUAAAGAAGAAAACAAAAAUCAUCCAUAAAACCUCUGUACUCACUCAACCUUUGAUGUUCUUCAAUAAUUUGUACAACAGAAUUGCUCUCAGACCUACUCUGCCACGUUGUUGCUCCGUCUCAGAAGAAACGCAGCCCUGCUACCUGCAGGCCUUCUUCCCUAGGAGGCUUCCCCAGGGACCGACAGCUAAGCUUAGUUCCUGCUCUGAGGCUCCUUCCUGCUGUGUUCCGUCAGCCUGUGAUGCCGCUCUGGUUACCUCACAGUGAGCCUGCUCCCCAGGACGGAUCCUGACCUGAAACAAUGCUUUGUCCGGAAUGUCAAAACCAAUAAACAUUCGUGGAUUGAAAAAAGCGACGUAAAGAUGGAAAGAGGCAAGUGAGAACAGGCCAGCGCCUGGAUCGUGUUCUUGCAGAGCUGAGAGCAGCGCCUUGUGUCCAGGGUCAAAGGGAGAGCCAGGAUGGGGCAGAUGGCACCUCUGAGGGAUGGGACUGCGGGUUUGGGGAAGGAUGCAGGUGAAUGCAAGUGCUUGCCUUGGAGUCGGGGCUGAGGUCCUGACCGCAGGCUGUAGAUCUGCAAAGAGCUUGAUGAUCUCCAGGUGCAGCCGCGUCGCAGAGGGGCGGAGCCCAGGGAGGACCGGGCUGACCUGCCGCUCAGAACCUCCUCCCACCGCGCCCCAUGGCCACUCUUCAAACUGUCAGCUGUGUCUAGCUUAGAAAGGCCGGUUUCCAGUCUGAAUUUGCUUUACUGGAGGAGUCUGUGGUAAAUGUUCACGUAAUACUUUCCUCCACACUCAGACUUUUCAGAGACUAACAUCGGCUGUAGAGGAAACUGAUAGUCGAGCCCAUAGACCUCUUCUUAACUUAGAAGCGAGUUGCUGCCUCCACGUCAAGAUUCUCAGGAAGCCUGUUUGCCUUCUUAACUUCUUGGGGGGAAAAAUGAAAGUAUUAGUU